rnacentral:rRNA from 1 species
CCUACGGGUGGCAGCAGUGGGGAAUAUUGCACAAUGGGCGAAAGCCUGAUGCAGCAACGCCGCGUGAAGGAAGAAGGCUUUCGGGUCGUAAACUUCUUUUCUUGGGGAAGAAGAACUGACGGUACCCACGGAGAAAGCCCCGGUCAACUAAGUCCCAGCAGGCGCGGGAAUAAGUAGGGGGAAAGGUUUAUCCGGAUUUAUUGGGGGAAAGGAGUGCGAAGGGGGGAACCUAAGCGGAGGGUAAAAGGGAGGGGCUAAACCAUGGUGCGCACUGGAAACUGGGAUGCUUGAGUGCAGGAGAGGAAAGCGGAAUUCCGGGUGUAGCGGUGAAAUGCGUAGAUAUUAGGAGGAACACCAGUGGCGAAGGCGGCUUGCUGGACUGUAACUGACGCUGAGGCACGAAAGCGUGGGGAGCAAACAGGAUUAGAUACCCGAGUAGUC